rnacentral:rRNA from 1 species
UGCGCAGGCGGAACUUUAAGUCAGUGGUGAAAUCUUGCCGCUUAACGGUAAAAUUGCCAUUGAAACUGAAGUUCUUGAAUAUGGUUGAGGUAGGCGGAAUGUGUUGUGUAGCGGUGAAAUGCAUAGAUAUGACACAGAACGCCGAUUGCGAAGGCAGCUUACUAAGCCAUUAUUGACGCUGAGGCACGAAAGCGUGGGGAGCGAACAGGAUUAGAUACCCUGGUAGUCC